CACACACACACACACACACACACACACACACACACACACACACACACAUGGGAUCUCAGGGCAAAUGGUUUGCAUGGAUCUCGUGCCUUCCAAACACCUCCUGUUGCCCUAAAUAUCUUGUAAUGAAAGGCGCGGCCUCGGUAAUCCGUGACGGAAGGCAGUUUCAUGCUAGUUUAGCUUCCAUCACCUGUGUCGCUCCCUCCACCGCCCCACCGAGACAAGCCCUCGUCUCCGGCGCACUCGUCCUCCGUCGUCCUCCGUCGUCCCGUUUUUCCUUUUGCAGAGAAACCGCACGGGUCGUCUACACGUAAAACACGUCUCGUCGAGGUAAAUGAGGAUGAUUUUUUUGGUAUGGUUGCUCAUGCGAGCGUUUUAUUGUGAAAAAAGUAAGAUGCAGGUGUUUGAGUGUCCUCCAAAGCGGCCUGAAGAGAAGCCGCAUACGGCCAGUCCCUCUGAUUUCCUGUUAACGGUGUUUGUGUUGCGUCUUUUCGGCGAGCGAGACGCUGAUGAAGGUGGAUGGCAGCAGACAGCGGCUCGGAGCCUCGGCCCUCCGAGGAAGACCCUCUCACGCGUUCUGGCAGCCCUUCCAACAGAAUGGAUGAUUCUGGAACAGCAGCUCCCUCUUCACCUCGUGCCAAGACAUUUACAAUUCAAACAUGGACCAAGGAUUAACCUUGAUGCCGCGGCCUGGAGGGAGUUACUGCUGUGACUUGUUUCAUCUGGCGGAGGAGGAAAGAAGAUGACACCGCAACGCUGCUGCAGAUGCAAAACGAACCUGGGGAGGUCUCCUGCUGCCGGCCUCCAUGUGAAGUGACCCCAAAAAGGAUGUGACAAGUCGGGAUGAGCUCGGGGAGGCCAGAGGAGCAAGGCAAAGGGAUUAGAUACAGGGUGAAAAAAUAAAAGGGGCGGAGUAACGGAUGCCGGCGCUACGAGGGAAAUGUGUAGCCGUCUACUUUACCGGGGUUUCUCAUUCCAAUCAGCGAGUGUCGGCCCAGUCGGCCGCGUAAUUAAUGACUUGCUGACUGGCCACUAACAGUCCAACGAGUCUGUCCGACGGCAUCGUCGAGCAGCUGAAGCCUGCAGGAAAGAGAGAGGAAUGGCUCCAUUGAUACUUCAUGUGCUGCACUGCGCCCCUCAAUCAUGGGCAUGUUAUUCAAUCAAGGAGGGGGGGGGGUUGUAAUCGAUGUAAGCUAAAACAGAUUUUCCAAUAGCAACUUAUGAAAGUAGUAAAUGUAGUCUUCCUAGUGAAUGCACAUGUAAAUAUAUAUAUAUAUAUAUAUAAGUAGUGCUGUAUGAAAGAAAGGCAAGAAAAUCCAUUUUUCCGUGGUACAUUUUGAAGGCAAACCUUUGAGCUUUGAAAUAACCCGAGAACAACAAGUCUACUCCUACUCCAGAGGAGCCAAAUUUAGCACAUUUAUUCUUGUGUUUAGCGUUUGAAUGACAUGAGGCAUUCAUGUUGUUAAAUCUUUAAUGCCUACAUUUUACAUUUUACCAUUUCAAAAUAAAUAGCU
ensembl:lncRNA